CUUGCACCGGUCCUGCACAGACUCCGUGACCAGGCUCAGUAGACAUUGGCUGCGAAGCUCCAUAAGUGCACCAGGAUACCAAACUUGUGAAGAGUUGCCAGGAAAUAGUCCCACUGUGAAUGAGACAAGUAGUCAGCUAUAUUAUCCAUCUCAAGGGAUAUUGCAUGCCUAUAACCAAAUGUUUAAAUAAAAGUAAAUGUGACCAUACAGCCCUGCCAUCUUUAGCCCUAAAGAUGGACUAGUUCAGCCCUAGUAUCGCCCUUGGGAUUCUUUGCAUUAACAUGUAUUUUUCUCACUAGCAAACAGAGUGCCUUUUCUAGCUGGCAGUAUAGUUGCAAGUGAUACGGUCUUGACGUCUCUGUUACCGAAGGCAUAACAGUUCUGACCUUCCUCUAGCUCGCCUGGCGAACUUCUACCCUGAGUGAUAGGAUUCUGGUACAGGAAUUGCUAAUCCCCUGGCAUAGGAGAAUGCACUGCGGAGUUACUCUGGUUAUUACAGGAUAUUCUAUCUAACUAAAAACCACUAUCGAUUUUCCC